UACGAAGGGGACUAGCGUUGUUCGGAAUCACUGGGCGUAAAGCGCACGUAGGCGGAUUCGUAAGUCAGGGGUGAAAUCCCGGGGCUCAACCUCGGAACUGCCUUUGAUACUGCGGGUCUUGAGUCCGAUAGAGGUGGGUGGAAUUCCUAGUGUAGAGGUGAAAUUCGUAGAUAUUAGGAGGAACACCGGUGGCGAAGGCGGCCCACUGGAUCAGUACUGACGCUGAGGUGCGAAAGCGUGGGGAGCAAACAGG
rnacentral:rRNA from 1 species